rnacentral:lncRNA from 1 species
AUGGGCAGAAAGACUGGGAUCAGGUGACCUGGCCCCUCAGCUAGAGAAACCAUGGCAUCCCUGAAGUACAGUGUGUUUUGGGUUGAACAGAGAAGCAGCCUUAUUGCCUACUGCUGGGCAAGGAGGCGGAGUCAAACAAGGGGGCGGGGCGUACGGUACAACUGGAUAGAGGGGAUAAGUUUAGCUAAUCUCGGUAGAAGCAGUCUCUGCAGGGGAGCUGUUCAAGCAGUAAAUAUGAGGGUGGGAGAAAGCUUUGGUGGACAUUUUCUGCACACUGUCAACAUCUACACUUGGACAAAAGGAAGGAAGACUUCGGCAUUCCUCUGUAUGAUUCACCCGCCCUGAAGGGGAAGGGCUUUGCUUUCCCGUUCCUCCAUGAGUCUGAGGCUCUGGGGACAUUGGCAUGGCUGUGCCUGUGUCACAGCACACAUUCACUCGGGACUUACACAACUCAGGGCUUCCUCCUCCCCCUACAGUAGCAGCUUAACUUUACUGAUCUAAUUUUCUUAUUAUAUAAUUGGGUCACUUCUUGGACAUUUCAGGUUUCAUACUGUUAUUUUUUUUUAAAAAAGUGGAGAGACCCUGUCUCAAAAAAAAAAA